rnacentral:rRNA from 1 species
GACGAACGCUGGCGGCGUGCCUAAUACAUGCAAGUCGAACGAACUCUGGUAUUGAUUGGUGCUUGCAUCAUGAUUUACAUUUGAGUGAGUGGCGAACUGGUGAGUAACACGUGGGAAACCUGCCCAGAAGCGGGGGAUAACACCUGGAAACAGAUGCUAAUACCGCAUAACAACUUGGACCGCAUGGUCCGAGCUUGAAAGAUGGCUUCGGCUAUCACUUUUGGAUGGUCCCGCGGCGUAUUAGCUAGAUGGUGGGGUAACGGCUCACCAUGGCAAUGAUACGUAGCCGACCUGAGAGGGUAAUCGGCCACAUUGGGACUGAGACACGGCCCAAACUCCUACGGGAGGCAGCAGUAGGGAAUCUUCCACAAUGGACGAAAGUCUGAUGGAGCAACGCCGCGUGAGUGAAGAAGGGUUUCGGCUCGUAAAACUCUGUUGUUAAAGAAGAACAUAUCUGAGAGUAACUGUUCAGGUAUUGACGGUAUUUAACCAGAAAGCCACGGCUAACUACGUGCCAGCAGCCGCGGUAAUACGUAGGUGGCAAGCGUUGUCCGGAUUUAUUGGGCGUAAAGCGAGCGCAGGCGGUUUUUUAAGUCUGAUGUGAAAGCCUUCGGCUCAACCGAAGAAGUGCAUCGGAAACUGGGAAACUUGAGUGCAGAAGAGGACAGUGGAACUCCAUGUGUAGCGGUGAAAUGCGUAGAUAUAUGGAAGAACACCAGUGGCGAAGGCGGCUGUCUGGUCUGUAACUGACGCUGAGGCUCGAAAGUAUGGGUAGCAAACAGGAUUAGAUACCCUGGUAGUCCAUACCGUAAACGAUGAAUGCUAAGUGUUGGAGGGUUUCCGCCCUUCAGUGCUGCAGCUAACGCAUUAAGCAUUCCGCCUGGGGAGUACGGCCGCAAGGCUGAAACUCAAAGGAAUUGACGGGGGCCCGCACAAGCGGUGGAGCAUGUGGUUUAAUUCGAAGCUACGCGAAGAACCUUACCAGGUCUUGACAUACUAUGCAAAUCUAAGAGAUUAGACGUUCCCUUCGGGGACAUGGAUACAGGUGGUGCAUGGUUGUCGUCAGCUCGUGUCGUGAGAUGUUGGGUUAAGUCCCGCAACGAGCGCAACCCUUAUUAUCAGUCGCCAGCAUUAAGUUGGGCACUCUGGUGAGACUGCCGGUGACAAACCGGAGGAAGGUGGGGAUGACGUCAAAUCAUCAUGCCCCUUAUGACCUGGGCUACACACGUGCUACAAUGGAUGGUACAACGAGUUGCGAACUCGCGAGAGUAAGCUAAUCUCUUAAAGCCAUUCUCAGUUCGGAUUGUAGGCUGCAACUCGCCUACAUGAAGUCGGAAUCGCUAGUAAUCGCGGAUCAGCAUGCCGCGGUGAAUACGUUCCCGGGCCCUGUACACACCGCCCGUCACACCAUGAGAGUUUGUAACACCCAAAGUCGGUGGGGUAACCUUUUAGGAACCAGCCGCCUAAGGUGGGACAGAUGAUUAGGGUG